GCCCCCAAAAUGUCGUCUAUCAUUAGUUAUUAUCUAAUUUAUGACGUCAGUAAAUAGACUAUUCCUAAUAUUUUAGGUAACAGGCUAAUACAUUUAUGAUUGGAUAGUACUACUCCCAACUGUGGAAAUAAUUAGAAUUAUAUUCAAAUAUGAUGACGUAAUAUAAAGUAGAUCAAUCAUCUGCUUUCCUUUAGCUGACGUUGAUAUCUAUUUCUCAAGCUAAAUUAAAGAUUUUAAUGUACUUCUGCCUUACUAUGCCAAACUACCAAAUGAGUAUUUAUUUAUCUAGCUAUUGUUUAUUAUUCUUCAACCUAUUUACUUCAUCCAGGAUUCCUUGUGGAAUAUUAAUUUACUCAUUACAUUUGAUACGGGGCACUGAUCAUGUAUUCAAAGCUAUUUAUCGGUGAGGAUAUGCUUCCCCUACUUCAACUGAAAGAGGAUACGUUUCAAAUCCAUCCGUUCUCCCUUUAUAUUAAAUGUCCCGAAACCACACACUGAAGUCAUUUCUGGGAACAUUCUUACAUGAAGAUUUUAGGAAGAAAGUGUUGAAGAUGGUCAUGGACAAGACGUUUGGUUACAGACUCACUCUGAAAUAGCUUUUUUAAAAAGAGGUAUUGAUGAUCGACUGGAGAAGGAUUUUAUCUUACAUACUCGACCGUUGUAGGUGUACCAUGUUAAUGAAAAAACCAUGAAUGUAGUUAUUAUCCUGUCUUAUGCCAAUCAUAAGUUUAAAGUUCGACAUCUCUCUAUGAAUCACAAGAGCAAGGCUUCCUGUUAACUGACUAUCUUUAUUUUUAACUCAAGCAACGUUGGAGCCAUCCCUGCAGUGAAUACACUCAUCAAGAUUCUAUAUCAUUCCUUCCUUGAUGCCUAUCAUUAUUAGAGACAUUUCUCUUCAUUUAUUUAUGAUGCCUAAUACGUCUUUCUGUCCACUUUGUAUUUGUUUUGUUUCUUCUGAAGAUUAAGAUAUGCUUUAAUAUUGGCUUGAUUUGUUUAUCGAAUUUUGAAGAUUUCCUUUGGAAAUAGUGUUA
rnacentral:lncRNA from 1 species